rnacentral:rRNA from 1 species
CCUACGGGAGGCAGCAGUGAGGAAUAUUGGUCAAUGGACGAGAGUCUGAACCAGCCAAGUAGCGUGAAGGAUGACUGCCCGAUGGGUGGUAAACUUCGUUUAUAGGGGAAGAAAACAGGGUAUGCAUACCCUCUUGUAUGUACCAUAUGAAUAAGGAUCGGCGAACUCCGUGCCAGCAGCCGCGGUAAUACGGAGGAUCCGAGCGUUAUCCGGAUUGAUGGGGUUUAAAGGGAGCGUAGUUGGCUUGUUAAGUCAGUUGUGAAAGUUUGCGGCUCAACCGUAAAAUUGCAGUUGAAACGGGCAGUCUUGAGUACAGUAGAGGUGGGCGGAAUUCGUGGUGUCGCGGU